GGUUUGGCGAUGGAUGCUGGUGCCGAGGACGCGGUGUUCUAUUCGAUCUAUCCGGGAUUACCAGCCGGCGCGAGCGAUGGCGAUACCUUGAUCCAGCUCCAGCGCCUCCGCGACGAUUGCCUAGCUGUAGCGUCGCCGCUUGUCCGUGGAUACAUCUGGCAGCACGCGCAGUUCGAUUUGCAGGUAGCGCUUUCGGCGCCGCCAUCGCACAGGGAGCCGGCAUUUUCCGGUGACGAGGAGCCGGCGGCUCGUUGCGAUCCCGGGCUGCCGCUUGUCUAUGGAAGAACGAGGUAUGGGCAUAAUCUGGAGGAUGAGUGGUUCGUGGUUUACUUGCUCUACGAGAUUUCUCGGAGGAUUCCGGGGGUGUAUAUCAGGGUGUGGGACUCUGAUGGAGAGUUUUUGCUCAUAGAGGCAGCGUACGCGAUACCAAGAUGGUUGAAACCAGAGAACAGCCAGAACAGGGUGUUCAUCAGCCAGGGGUCACUUCACAUUCUUCCACUGCCCACCUCUCCGGCUCACGUUGGCCUUUCUCUAGCAAAUCCAACGCUGGCAGAGGCCGUGAGAGUUCUUUCCAGCGGAAGCGUCGACACUAGAGCUUCCGAGGGUGUCCAGGCAGCAAUCGGCCGAAAGUUGGAAGGAUAUCCCGAGCGGUCCCGGAAGAACAUGCACAGAGUGAGAUGCAAGGUUCCUUUGAGCGUAGCGCAGGUGCUCAAGCACGAGCCACAGCUGGUUGCUCUGGCGGUGGAGGCGUUUUACACUCGCGAUCACGAUGCAAUGGCUGCGGCCUCGAGGAUGGAGAAGUUUUUACGUGGAGGGCAGGAUGAGAUAGUCACCGUGGCGGUUUGCUUGUCCAAGGCUAUGUACGCUCAGCUCAAGCAGCAGGUUUUCCAGGCUCCUCGGAUUUAUCCUGCGGAGGGACAAGAUGACAUUGGCGUGAAGCUGGCCUGCGGUUUUGAGAUGAUGUACUGGGAACGCUCCAAUUUCCAGGAUGAGCAGGCAGUAGGCAAAACAUUUCGAAAGGGCCUGGAGGCUAGAGGUUACUUUAAAGAUCUUCUUGAAGGAUCGAAAGAACACCGCCAGCUUUUGGACGCUGCCUUUGCCAGCUACCGAGAGACGGAAACGUUUUCAAGAAUAAGAGAAGCAAUGCAAGUCCCUGCGAAACGAAUUGACGAAAUUUUGGCUUUGGAACAUAAAGCCGAGGAUUUCAUGAAUGUGGAUAUCCCGGAAAGUGACGAUGACUCGUGGUUAUAUAGAGGUGAAGAUGAGCUAACAAGUGCCAUGCAAGAGAGACAGAAGGAAAUGGACGCUCACGAUAAGAAAAGUGGUGCUAAAACUCUGGCACCUGUUGUCGAAGGCGAGUUUGAUCCCAGCGAAUUGACCAAGACAAUGAAGUCAUUUGUGGACAAAAUCUCAAGUUUUGAGGGUGCUGAGGUACCAAAGAAUGACGAGCCUGUGUCUAUGGAUUUGGAAAAUUUUAUGCAAGAGCUCAAAACAGCACUGAAACUGGAUAAUGAGCGUGCCGGGAACUUGCAGUCGGGCUCCUCAGAUUCAGAUUCGGGUGAAGACGACGAAGAUGGAGACCUUUCGAAAGGUGACGAUGACUUUAUGGAGGAGUACUCCGACGCUAUCCAACACGAGCUUAAAAACUCGAGUGUCUCCAAAACAUUUGCUCAACCUGACGUGUCUCGCGCUUCUGGGUCAGCAUCUACUUCUGCUACCGCUACCGGAGAUGACAACUUGCCCGUGGACGUAGACCUCAACCUGCUCAAGAACCUGCUCGACUCGUACUCAUCGCAGCAAGGCCUGCCCGGACCAGCGUCUAACGUCCUGGGAAUGAUGGGAAUGCAGCUCCCAGACGACAAGGAGGAGCAUAAACGUAAGACUCGGAGGAAGUGACGUGACGGAGUGCGUUGAUUUGGACGAGACAGAGACGGAGACAAAGCUUCCCUCGUCGAAACCAAACAGUGGGACUGUGUUACAACUUAAGACCCACGCAUUCGGAGGAGAAUGCUGCUGGACCAAGAAUUAUUUAUCUCAGUUACCAGAUAAUACUCCACUUGGAUAGUGCAUAAGACAUGUUUAAUCAUCGUUUCAUGUUUUAAAUUUGCGGUUUCAGGAAAUGUCGGGUAUUUGAGAAGCUGGAUCAUGUGAUUCCACGGUUCCAAGCAGCAGAGCAACAAACCGGGGGACAUGGAGAAGCGGCCAAAGAGUGCCGGAGCAGCCUCCCCGUCGCUCAGCUGCCGGCUCUCGACGACGGCCUAGCCUCAAUAGCAUCACUCCUCCUGGGCGUGAGUGCCAGGAACAGUAACGAGCGUCCUCUCGGGCAUCGCGGGCCUCAUCGCCGGCGCGUGCAGCAUGGCGGUGGGAGAGUUCCUGUCGGUGUCCUCGCAGCGCGACCACGAGCCGAGAUAGAGAGGAGGGGGCGGCAGCACACCGCCGGGGGUGCGGGAGAAUUGACAUGGAGGCGCUGGCGCGACCGUGGCAGUGUCGGCGACGGUGUUUACCACUGGCGGUGGCGUGCCCCUGCUAGCCGCGGGGUUCGUGGAGGCGUACCGCCAUGGCGAGGCUGAUGGUGUUGAGGCCCAGAUAGUCGUGGACGAAGCUAAACACCGCGUUGGCGGCUGCAUUUACAGUUGAUUGUUAAAGUUAAA